UGGGGAAUAUUGCACAAUGGGCGCAAGCCUGAUGCAGCCAUGCCGCGUGUAUGAAGAAGGCCUUCGGGUUGUAAAGUACUUUCAGCGGGGAGGAAGGCGAUAAGGUUAAUAACCUUGUCGAUUGACGUUACCCGCAGAAGAAGCACCGGCUAACUCCGUGCCAGCAGCCGCGGUAAUACGGAGGGUGCAAGCGUUAAUCGGAAUUACUGGGCGUAAAGCGCACGCAGGCGGUCUGUCAAGUCGGAUGUGAGAUCCCCGGGCUCAACCUGGGAACUGCAUUCGAAACUGGCAGGCUAGAGUCUUGUAGAGGGGGGUAGAAUUCCAGGUGUAGCGGUGAAAUGCGUAGAGAUCUGGAGGAAUACCGGUGGCGAAGGCGGCCCCCUGGACAAAGACUGACGCUCAGGUGCGAAAGCGUGGGGAGCAAACA
rnacentral:rRNA from 1 species